rnacentral:rRNA from 1 species
AUUGAACGCUGGCGGCAUGCCUUACACAUGCAAGUCGAACGGCAGCGGGCCUUCGGGUGCCGGCGAGUGGCGAACGGGUGAGUAAUGCAUCGGAACGUGCCAUUGAGUGGGGGAUAACGUAGCGAAAGUUGCGCUAAUACCGCAUAUUCUGUGAGCAGGAAAGCAGGGGACCGCAAGGCCUUGCGCUUUUUGAGCGGCCGAUGUCAGAUUAGCUAGUUGGUGAGGUAAAGGCUUACCAAGGCGACGAUCUGUAGCGGGUCUGAGAGGAUGAUCCGCCACACUGGAACUGAGACACGGUCCAGACUCCUACGGGAGGCAGCAGUGGGGAAUUUUGGACAAUGGGGGCAACCCUGAUCCAGCCAUGCCGCGUGAGUGAAGAAGGCCU